GCGGUCGUAGCUCAACUGGCAGAGCACCAGUUUGUGGCACUGGUGGUUGCGGGUUCAAAUCCCGUCGAUCGCC
rnacentral:tRNA from 1 species